AAUGAAAGCAAAUGUGCAUGAGA
rnacentral:snRNA from 1 species